AUGCUCCUGAUGGAUCACCUUUUCAUGAACUUGGUGAAGUCAUGCCUCAUUUGAAAGUUAAACAUGGAUCUGUUUCUAGCAGUAGUAAGUUAUCUGAAACUGUUGGAGGCAGCUUGGAAGAAAGUAUACCUUCUACUUCUGCUAGCUACUUUGAAGGUAGUUCUGCUAUUAGAACAAACCUGCAACAGGCUUCAUCUGGAUUUGAGGAUCUCUCAAAUGUUAAUGAUCAGUCGCGAGUAAAUAAUGACAAUUUACCCUCUGGGAUGCAGUACUCUGAUGAUCAAAGAUUCCGACUUUUUGUUGCUCAGGAUGAAGAAGUUCUUCCUGGAAUACCUAAAAGUAACAACGGUAACCCCUUGAUGAAACCCGCUGCGGACAUUCAGAAUUUGGUUUCCAGUCCUUCUACUCACCCAUCCCUGGCAAAUGAAUUCUCAGAAACUCAUCAGGAUCAGAAUCUGCAUCCGUUUGGCCUGUUGAUGUCUGAGCUUAGAGGUAACUCUCAGCUAAGGCAUGCUCAGUCAUCCGAUAUGUUUUCAAGCAUAGGUGAUCAGGGUCAAACUAUGGAUCCUUUCUUAGAAAAUGAUGUUGCUUUCCAGAAUCAUAGCUCUUUUGGUGCAAUGGUUGAUCAACCUCCUUAUAUGG
rnacentral:misc_RNA from 1 species